UACAGAGGUGGCAAGCGUUGUUCGGAAUUACUGGGCGUAAAGCGUGCGCAGGCGGUUUUGUAAGUCUGUCGUGAAAUCCCCGGGCUCAACCUGGGAAUUGCGAUGGAGACUGCAAGGCUAGAAUCUGGCAGAGGGGGGUAGAAUUCCACGUGUGAGCAGUGAAAUGCGUAGAGAUGUGGAGGAACACCGAUGGCGAAGGCAGCCCCCUGGGUCAAGAUUGGACGCUCAUGCACGAAAGCGUGGGGAGCAAACAGG
rnacentral:rRNA from 1 species